ACUAUGACCAAGUAACAUUUUAUUUGUUAUUUUAUUUUGUAUAAAUAUGUGAAAAUUUUGUGUUUCAUAAAAUAUUUUAUACUGUAAAUUUAUGCUGUGUAAAAUUAAUCCAAAACAAAAUUACUUGAUCAUCUUUUUGUUUUCUUUAGGUGGAAAUCUUACCUUCUGCCUGUCUUGCUUUCACAAAAAGAAAAUAUUGCUCAAAUUACUUAUAUAUUCUUUGUGCAUUUGGGUGCAACCAACUAUGUAAGUUUAACUCUGAUCUAUUUGUGAGCUAUUUUUUUUGACUCACGAAUAGAUCAGUAUUACUAACAAUCAAAAAAAUUGUUUUGUAAAAAAUAUGAUGCUUAACUUGGAUGCUCUCACUUGCUGCUUUUCCCAUCAAUUGUAACCACAAAUUUAUAAAAAGGUUUAUUUUAAACUAUGAGAAAAGCACCCAUCUCAUUUUAUUCCUCAUCCUCUUAUCCAUUAAAAUAUGAUUUACAAAGCUUCUCUUGCUUCUCACAACAUUAAAGCAAAGAGAACUAUGAGAUGUACCAAAUAGGAUAAAAUGAAAAAAGAAAAGGUAGGGAAUAACUAAAUGUCCAUGAUUGAACCAUGUAUUGUUGACAUUCCAAAUUUCCUAAAGUAGAAAAACUUGAUGUAAUGUGAGUACAAUGUCCACCACAAAAUAUCUGAAAUUAGAAAAAAUGCAUAGUAUAAUUCUAUAAACAACAUGUUCUUGUGCACGGCAUAAUUUUUCAAUAUAUAUAUAUAUAUAUAUA
rnacentral:lncRNA from 1 species